GACGAACGCUGGCGGCGUGCUUAACACAUGCAAGUCGAACGGAAAGGCCCUUCGGGGUACUCGAGUGGCGAACGGGUGAGUAACACGUGGGUGAUCUGCCCUGCACUUUGGGAUAAGCCUGGGAAACUGGGUCUAAUACCGAAUAUGAUCAUCAGCUUCAUGGUUGGUGGUGGAAAGCUUUUGCGGUGUGGGAUGGGCCCGCGGCCUAUCAGGUUGUUGGUGGGGUAAUGGCCUACAAAGGCGACGACGGGUAGCCGGCCUGAGAGGGGGACCGGCCACACUGGGACUGAGAUACGGCCCAGACUCCUACGGGAGGCAGCAGUGGGGAAUAUUGCACAAUGGGCGCAAGCCUGAUGCAGCGACGCCGCGUGAGGGAUGACGGCCUUCGGGUUGUAAACCUCUUUCAGCACAGACGAAGCGCAAGUGACGGUAUGUGCAGAAGAAGGACCGGCCAACUACGUGCCAGCCGCCGCGGUAA
rnacentral:rRNA from 1 species